rnacentral:lncRNA from 1 species
GGCUCCACCUCUUACCUUUUCAAUUGACAUUUCCGGCGGGGGGGGGGAGACCUAGAAAUAGGCAUUUUUUGAUGAGCAGCCCAGGCAGAUAUAAGGCUCCCCGAAGUGUGGAAAGGAGUCCUCCACGUGACUGUGAGCUCUUCAAGGAUGAGGACGCAGCCUUACUCAUUUCUGUGUAUCCAGGAACCGUCCCAGGACCUGGCAAACAACAUCCUACAACGUGAAUCGAAAUCUCAACUUGGUUCCAAUUUGACUUUCUCC